rnacentral:rRNA from 1 species
UGCAGAGGUCCCAAGCGUUGUUCGGAUUCACUGGGCGUAAAGGGUGCGUAGGCGGCCGGGUAAGUCUGAUGUGAAAUCUCACAGCUUAACUGUGAAACUGCAUUGGAUACUAUCCGGCUCGAGGAAUGGAGGGGAGACUGGAAUACUUGGUGUAGCAGUGAAAUGCGUAGAUAUCAAGUGGAACACCAGUGGCGAAGGCGAGUCUCUGGACAUUUCCUGACGCUGAGGCACGAAAGCCAGGGGAGCAAACGGG